ensembl:processed_transcript Gm15787 predicted gene 15787
GAACUCUCAGUUCCUCCUGCACCAUGUCUGCUUGGAUGCUGCCUUGUUACUGCCUUCAUGAUAAUGGACUGAACCUCUGAACCUUUUUCAUAGCCCAUGCCAAGAUUGUCAGACAAGAAAAACAAAUCUAUCUGAAAACCAAGUGAAGGAAAUGAUGCUGCUCCAGUGGUAUCUAUAAUGUCUUUAUUUGUCUUGACCAACUCUGAGAAGCAAGUUCGAGCUCAACCAUCCUGUGUGUCCGACUUCUGCUAAGUGUGGAGCAUCAUGCCAUCCCAAGUGCCUGUUAGAACUGAGUGGUGACACCAAUACAGA